rnacentral:rRNA from 1 species
UUGGGAAUCUUGGACAAUGGGGGCAACCCUGAUCCAGCGACGCCGCGUGGGUGAUGAAGGCCUUAGGGUUGUAAACCGCUUUCACCGGGGAGGAUGAUGACGUUACACGGAGAAGAAGCACCGGCUAACUCCGUGCCAGCAGCCGCGGUAAGACGGAGGGUGCUAGCGUUGUUCGGAAUCACUGGGCGUAAAGGGCGCGUAGGCGGCUUGGUCAGUCAGAUGUGAAAGCCCGGGGCUCAACUCCGGAAUUGCAUUUGAUACUACCAAGCUGGAGGUCGAAAGAGGAGAGUGGAAUACCCAGUGUAGAGGUGAAAUUCGUAGAUAUUGGGUGGAACACCAGUGGCGAAAGCGGCUCUCUGGUUCGAACCUGACGCUGAGGCGCGAAAGCGUGGGGAGCAAACAGGAUUAGAUACCCCCGUAGUCC